CACUUUUCAUUUAAAAACUUUCCCUUUGCUCACUCAAAACACACAAACACAUUUCUUCAUCUAAAAAGUCUCUCUUUCCUCUCUCGCUUCCUAUAUAUUUUUUUAAUCGAAAAAUUUCUUUCUAAAUUUUCUUUUGGUUGAAAACUCUCUCUAUAUUUUACUGCGCGCGUCUGGUCUUUGAAGGCACUUUAAGUGCUAACAUGCGACAAGUUUGAUCCUCGAGCAAGACAUAGAGACAAUACAUGUUACAUAAUAAGAUAUAUAACGUCUAAUCGCCGGCAAAGCACAAAUAGUUCAGUGGAACCUGAUUCAAAUAUUCGUACGGAAACAUCAGUACGGACAGGAGAUAAUUUCAAAUGGACUCCUAACCGAGAAAGAAAUUUCUUGAGUUGUAUGACAAAGCCAUUGCAAUGACUAAUUACCGUUUAAAAGAUCCUACACUUCUUGGUAAAGAGUUUGUGGUUGAAAAUUUUAAUGAGAAGUUCAAUCUCAAUAUAAACUAUCGGUUUUUCAAUGAAAAACUUGAUCAGUUGAAAAAAAAAUACAAGAAGUAUGUAGUUCUUAAGGAUAACACAUGUAUCUCUGCUGAUCCUGUUACACACCAGAUAACUGCAUCCAAGACUUGGUGGAAAAUCAAGAAGUAUGUAAAAUUGUGCAUGCCUUUGAGCCACAGCCGCCACAACUUUGGGAUGUGAUGCAACGUUUUUUCAGAUUAUAUGAUGUCAAAUCUCAAUCUCAAUAUUCUGUCAACCAGCGAAGAGAAAAUAUGAUGAACGAAGGCACAAAUAAUAACGAUUCUCAUACGUACUCAGAAACAUAUGGUGGUGAAAUGUCAUAUAGUCAAGUUCCAGAGACACAAGAAAACGAAGAGGUAUACCACGUAAAUAUUGACGAUGAAACACGUCCAUCCAAUGAGUUUACUCGUGAAUAUACACGUCAUAGUUCUCCAUCAGUUGAUCCAAUCCAAAUCCCUGUUUCCGGAGUUUAACAACGAGGACGUGGAAGACAUGGAAGUACUUCACAAAUGUAUGCGGUAAACUCAUGUGACACUAUUGGAAGUGGUUCGCGAGGAAGUCGAAGAAAACAAUCUUUUGAGACAAUGUUAACAGAUACAGUGACUGGAUUUAGAGAGUUUCAACGCCAAAGCUUACAACAACUACGCCCAAAAUCAUUUGACCAAAAUGAUUUUGACGAAUGUGAAACGGCUGUGAAGAUCUUUGAGGCUAUGGAGCUUCCAAAUGAUACUAAAUUUUAUUGGGAAUGCAUAAGGGCAUUCAAAGAAGACGAAUUUUGGAGGGGAAAACGGCCAGUUCCCCCCUGAACUAAGUUACUUUAUCGCACAUAUUCCUGAAACUUUCAACUGUGCCAAUUCCCCUCUAAACUCUAAUAAACUUUGAAUAUCCCACACCAACUAUACUAAGUCGGAUUAAACCCCCAAAUCGUGAAACGGUGUUAAAUUACCGUUAACAGAUGAUGAUUAGGACGACACGUAAGCACUAAAACGAUUGCGUUUUAGCACUAAACCCAUGGUUUUACAAACACAAAACGACGUCGUAUAACGAAUUGGGGGUUUAUUCGAUUUAGGGUACUUAUUUAUUCUUCCUUCCCAAAACAAAUCGCAAAAGUGAGAAACAGAAACAAAGAGAAACACUGAGAGAUCGAGAAUCGAAGCUGUUGUAGCUGAAUUGGGUGAAAGAGGAAGAGGAAUUCCGAAGAAAUGUAGAUGUGGAGAGAAUGCAUUUUUGAGGACAUCAAAGACAGUGAAAAAUCUAGGGAGACUUUUUAAUGCUUGUACAAAUGGAGAUGAGGUCAUGGUUUAAUUGUUGGGUAGUUAAGGUAUAAAUUGUAAAAUUCUGAUACAUUCUUUAAUUAUG